UACAUCUGGAAGAGUGUGUCCAGUUCUGGACCUCUCAGUUCAAGAAGGAUCUCAAGGAAUUGCCUGGAAGAAUCCAGGGCAGAGCCACAAAAGUGAUGGAGUGGAAACAUCUUCUUUAGGAGGAGCGCCUGAGGGUGCUGGGGGUUGUGAGCUUGGAGAAGAGCAGCCUGAGAGGUGACCUCAUUCAUGCUUAUACAGAUGUAAAUGCAACAGCUAAACUUCCCUUUGUUUAAACUGCACACAGAGGCUGGAUCAGAAGCUGACAACCUGUGUGCCACAUGAAGGCCGCUCACAAGUGCUCUUCUGCUCUCAGCAGCAGAAUACACUUAAAGGCACAGUUCAGCU